AGCUCCAAUAGCGUAUAUUAAAGCUGUUGCAGUUAAAACGCUCGUAGUUGAAAGUCUGUCAGUGAGGAUCAGUUAUCUCAUUUGAGUAUGUACUUAUUGUCAUUGGCAUCAAUUUGGUGUAUUCAAUGGGUAAAACUGUUGAAUUACCAAGGUGUUACUUUGAGAAAAUUAGAGUGUUUCAAGCAGGCGUGCUAUGUCUUGAAUACUCCAGCAUAGAAUAACAGAUGAGGACUCAAGUCCUUUUUGUUGGUUUAAGGGCUUAAGUAAUGAUUAAGAGGAGCAGUUGGGGGCAUUCGUACUCAGUCGUCAGAGGUGAAAUUCUUAGAUUGACUGAAGACGAACUACUGCGAAGGCAUCUGCCAAGGAUGUUUUCA
rnacentral:rRNA from 1 species